rnacentral:lncRNA from 1 species
AAGAAUCUGUGGAGGAUUUCUUGGUUGUAAAAGGUUCUUGAGAACCAGUGAUGGAUACAAUUCGGCAUAAGUCAUAGGAAUCGGGUCAAAAGAGACUUUUUUCCUCUUAAAGUUCUGCUAUUGUUGAUUAUUGUUGGUAUUAUUGUUGUUGUUGUUUGUUCGUUGUUGUGGCUGUUGUUGACGUUGUUGUUGAAUUGGU